AUUGAACGCUAGCUACAGGCUUAACACAUGCAAGUCGAGGGGUAACGAGAGGAAAGCUUGCUUUCCUUGUCGACGACCGGCGCACGGGUGAGUAACGCGUAUCCAACCUGCCCCCAACUAGGGAAUAACCUUGCGAAAGUAAGACUAAUACCCUAUAAUUUCCUCAGAUGACAUCUGACGAGGAAUAAAGAUUUAUCGGUUGUGGAUGGGGAUGCGUCUGAUUAGCUUGUUGGCGGGGUAACGGCCCACCAAGGCAACGAUCAGUAGGGGUUCUGAGAGGAAGGUCCCCCACAUUGGAACUGAGACACGGUCCAAACUCCUACGGGAGGCAGCAGUGAGGAAUAUUGGUCAAUGGGCGGAAGCCUGAACCAGCCAAGUAGCGUGCAGGAUGACGGCCCUAUGGGUUGUAAACUGCUUUUAUACAGGAAUAAAGUUAGCCACGUGUGGUUAUUUGUAGGUACUGUAUGAAUAAGGACCGGCUAAUUCCGUGCCAGCCGCCGCCGUAA
rnacentral:rRNA from 1 species